AAAUAAUAAUGGGCUUUUCUUUAUUUCUUUAUUUUCCCCUACAGAGUAUUGAGCUCGGAAGAGAAAAGGGAAGACGAAGCCAUAGCGAGAGUGCCCCUCUCUCUUCUUUCUCUCUCUCUUUCUCUGAGUUCUCUCGGUCGUGAGUUUCGAUCCGGCGCUCGGGAAAUCGCUCUUUGAUGCUGAAUUGUUGUCGAGAAUGCUCGAUCCGUUGCGUUUUGCGGCGUUUGGAGAUGGAGAUCUGGGGCAUCUAGGUCUAAGAUGAGGUCUCUGUUUAGCGUGGAGCUAGGCCUGAGGUUCUUCGGAGCUCGUGGUUCGGAUUUUAAUAGAGAGAGAUGGUUUGGCGGUCGGAGGCUCUGUUUUGUAGCUCCUGGUGGAGGUUUGGAGAGGCUAAGUUUCGGAGUCCAGUGGCUUGUGGGGGGUGAAGCUCCUUGUAGUGCUUUUUUUGCACUAAAGUAUCAUUUUGAACUGGUUAGGGGAGUUUCUGAGGUGAGAUCUGGAGGUUUGAUGUUUCUUUGGUGCUUCUGGUCAAAUGCAUGGGCUUCCCUUCGAGCUUGGGUGAUGCAAGCUGGGAUUUUUUGAGGUUGUGAAGGGCUGAACUGGUUGAAAGCUUGAUUUUUGCUGAGUGGUUUGGAGCUUUGGAGGGAGAUUUCUUCGCCGCUUUGGGUUUUUGUCGUGAUUGCUUGCUUGAUUACUUGGCUGAGUGCGAAGGAUUUGGUUGGAGUUUUCUGUUCGGAGCUUUGAAACCCAUCUGCUCCACAAUAUCGGGGCGAGUCCAUCCAGUUCUGCUUCCAGAGUCAGAGAUUUGGUGCGUAAAUUCUUUUGGUUUGAGCUGGAUUUUAGAGUUUUAUGUGCUGCACCUUUCCUCCUAGUUAAGACGACGGAUUGGAAACUUUAGGGCUUCAAAGUUGAAGAUUGGACCUGAUGAGAGUGGAAGCGAGCGUUCUUGCAGUGGGCCUGGCUUCGGAUGAAGUGCUUGGCGGGUUUCCAAGGGGCUUGUGUCACCAAAUGGUGUUUUUGAUGCCAUCUAUUGGUUCUCUUAUAUUUUGUGUGGUCAUUAGCUGGGUGGAAAGGCAAAAUCAUCCCAUUGGGAGUGAAGAAAUCAAAAUUUUCAAUAUAAUUACCUUCUAAGGGGAAUUUUAUGGGAGGUAUGACAAACAGCUAAUCGAGCGAAACCAAACAAAUAUGACUUCAUCAUCACACGGGUGUCUUUCCUUGAAGAUUUCAUUUGUUUGUUGAAGAUAGGGGGAGGUCGUGGUGCUCAGAAGUGUUUCAUUAUUCGGUGAACCUAUUCAUAGUUUCAGGAUGAGGCUCUCAACAUCGGGGACUUCCGCAGCAGACACAGGAAGGUGA